rnacentral:rRNA from 1 species
GAACGCUAGCUACAGGCUUAACACAUGCAAGUCGAGGGGCAGCGGGAUUGAAGCUUUGCUUCAAUUGCCGGCGACCGGCGCACGGGUGAGUAACGCGUAUCCAACCUUCCGUACACUCAGGGAUAGCCUUUCGAAAGAAAGAUUAAUACCUGAUGGUAUGAUGAGAUCGCAUGGUAUCAUCAUUAAAGAUUUAUCGGUGUACGAUGGGGAUGCGUUCCAUUAGGUAGUAGGCGGGGUAACGGCCCACCUAGCCUACGAUGGAUAGGGGUUCUGAGAGGAAGGUCCCCCACAUUGGAACUGAGACACGGUCCAAACUCCUACGGGAGGCAGCAGUGAGGAAUAUUGGUCAAUGGACGAGAGUCUGAACCAGCCAAGUAGCGUGCAGGAUGACGGCCCUAUGGGUUGUAAACUGCUUUUAUAAGGGAAUAAAGUGAGUCUCGUGAGACUUUUUGCAUGUACCUUAUGAAUAAGGACCGGCUAAUUCCGUG